GACGAACGCUGGCGGCGUGCUUAACACAUGCAAGUCGAACGGAAAGGCCCUGCUUUUGUGGGGUGCUCGAGUGGCGAACGGGUGAGUAACACGUGAGUAACCUGCCCUUGACUUUGGGAUAACUUCAGGGAACUGGGGCUAAUACCGGAUAGGAGCUCCUGCUGCAUGGUGGGGGUUGGAAAGUUUCGGCGGUUGGGGAUGGACUCGCGGCUUAUCAGCUUGUUGGUGGGGUAGUGGCUUACCAAGGCUUUGACGGGUAGCCGGCCUGAGAGGGUGACCGGCCACAUUGGGACUGAGAUACGGCCCAGACUCCUACGGGAGGCAGCAGUGGGGAAUAUUGCACGAGGGGCGGAAGCCUGAUGCAGCAACGCCGCGUGCGGGAUGACGGCCUUCGGGUUGUAAACCGCUUUCGCCUGUGACGAAGCGUGAGUGACGGUAAUGGGUAAAGAAGCACCGGCUAACUACGUGCCAGCAGCCGCGGUGAUACGUACGGUGCGAGCGUUGUCCGGAUUUAUUGGGCGUAAAGGGCUCGUAGGUGGUUGAUCGCGUCGGAACUGUAAUCUUGGGGCUUAACCCUGAGCGUGCUUUCGAUACGGGUUGACUUGAGGAAGGUAGGGGAGAAUGGAAUUCCUGGUGGAGCGGUGGAAUGCGCAGAUAUCAGGAGGAACACCAGUGGCGAAGGCGGUUCUCUGGGCCUUUCCUGACGCUGAGGAGCGAAAGCGUGGGGAGCGAACAGGCUUAGAUACCCUGGUAGUCCACGCUGUAAACGGUGGGUACUAGGUGUGGGGUCCAUUCCACGGGUUCCGUGCCGUAGCUAACGCUUUAAGUACCCCGCCUGGGGAGUACGGCCGCAAGGCUAAAACUCAAAGGAAUUGACGGGGCCCCGCACAAGCGGCGGAGCAUGCGGAUUAAUUCGAUGCAACGCGUAGAACCUUACCUGGGUUUGACAUGGAUCGGGAGCGCUCAGAGAUGGGUGUGCCUCUUUUGGGGUCGGUUCACAGGUGGUGCAUGGCUGUCGUCAGCUCGUGUCGUGAGAUGUUGGGUUAAGUCCCGCAACGAGCGCAACCCUUGUUCACUGUUGCCAGCACGUUAUGGUGGGGACUCAGUGGAGACCGCCGGGGUCAACUCGGAGGAAGGUGGGGAUGACGUCAAGUCAUCAUGCCCCUUAUGUUCAGGGCUUCACGCAUGCUACAAUGGCUGGUACAGAGAGUGGCGAGCCUGUGAGGGUGAGCGAAUCUCGGAAAGCCGGUCUCAGUUCGGAUUGGGGUCUGCAACUCGACCUCAUGAAGUCGGAGUCGCUAGUAAUCGCAGAUCAGCAACGCUGCGGUGAAUACGUUCCCGGGGCU
rnacentral:rRNA from 1 species